rnacentral:rRNA from 1 species
UACGUAGGAGGCGAGCGUUGUCCGGAUUCAUUGGGCGUAAAGAGCACGCAGGCGGUUUGGCAAGUCGGACGUGAAAAUCCGGGGCUCAACCCCGGACCUGCAUCCGAAACUGCCCGACUAGAGGUAGGUAGGGGAGAUCGGAAUUCCUGGUGUAGCGGUGAAAUGCGCAGAUAUCAGGAAGAACACCCGUGGCGAAAGCGGCUCUCUGGAACGGUACUGACGCUGAGACGCGAAAGCGUGGGGAGCGAACAGG